GAUGAACGCUGGCGGCGUGCCUAAUACAUGCAAGUCGAGCGAAUGGAUUGAGAGCUUGCUCUUAUGAAGUUAGCGGCGGACGGGUGAGUAACACGUGGGUAACCUGCCCAUAAGACUGGGAUAACUCCGGGAAACCGGGGCUAAUACCGGAUAACAUUUUGAACCGCAUGGUUCGAAAUUGAAAGGCGGCUUCGGCUGUCACUUAUGGAUGGACCCGCGUCGCAUUAGCUAGUUGGUGAGGUAACGGCUCACCAAGGCAACGAUGCGUAGCCGACCUGAGAGGGUGAUCGGCCACACUGGGACUGAGACACGGCCCAGACUCCUACGGGAGGCAGCAGUAGGGAAUCUUCCGCAGUGGACGAAAGUCUGACGGAGCAACGCCGCGUGAGUGAUGAAGGCUUUCGGGUCGUAAAACUCUGUUGUUGGGGAAGAACAAGUGCUAGUUGAAUAAGCUGGCACCUUGACGGUACCUAACCAGAAAGCCACGGCUAACUACGUGCCAGCAGCCGCAGUAA
rnacentral:rRNA from 1 species